AUUGAACGCUGGCGGCAGGCCUAACACAUGCAAGUCGAGCGGAUGAAGGGAGCUUGCUCCUGGAAUCAGCGGCGGACGGGUGAGUAAUGCCUAGGAAUCUGCCUGGUAGUGUGGGAUAACGUCCGGAAACGGGCGCUAAUACCGCAUACGUCCUGCGGGAGAAAGUGGGGGAUCUUCGGACUUCACGCUAUCAGAUGAGCCUAGGUCGGAUUAGCUAGUUGGUGGGGUAAAGGCCUACCAAGGCGACGAUCCGUAACUGGUCUGAGAGGAUGAUCAGUCACACUGGAACUGAGACACGGUCCAGACUCCUACGGGAGGCAGCAGUGGGGAAUAUUGGACAAUGGGCGAAAGCCUGAUCCAGCCAUGCCGCGUGUGUGAAGAAGGUCUUCGGAUUGUAAAGCACUUUAAGUUGGGAGGAAGGGCAGUAAGUUAAUACCUUGCUGUUUUGACGUUACCAACAGAAUAAGCACCGGCUAACUUCGUG
rnacentral:rRNA from 1 species